rnacentral:tRNA from 1 species
UUAAUUGAAACCAAAAAGAGGUAUAUCACUGUUAAUGAUAUUAAUGAAUACAAUAUUCCAAUUAAA